CAGAGGUUACUGCUAUCGAGAUUCGACUAAGCCAUGCGAGUUGAAUGUUCUCGUGAACAUGGCGGACUGCUCAGUAACACGUGGACAACCUACCCUUGGGUCCGGCAUAAUCCUGGGAAACUGGGAAUAAUUCCGGAUAGGUCACCGAUGCUGGAAUGCGCGGUGGCCGAAAGCUCCGGCGCCCGAGGAUGGGUCUGCGGCCUAUCAGGGUUGUAGUGGGUGUAACGUACCUACUAGCCUACGACGGGUACGGGUUGUGAGAGCAAGAGCCCGGAGAUGGAUUCUGAGACACGAAUCCAGGCCCUACGGGGUGCAGCAGGCGCGAAAACUUUACAAUGCGGGAAACCGUGAUAAGGGGAUCUCGAGUGCCAGCAUAUAAUGUUGGCUGUCCAGAUGCCUAAAAAGCAUCUGUUAGCAAGGGCCGGGCAAGACCGGUGCCAGCCGCCGCGGUAACACCGGCGGCCCGAGUGGUAACCGCUAUUAUUGGGUCUAAAGGGUCUGUAGCCGGCCAGGUAAGUCCCUUGGGAAAUCUGGCAGCUCAACUGUCAGGCUGCUAGGGGAUACUGUUUGGCUUGGGACCGGGAGAGGUGAGAGGUACCUUGGGGGUAGGGGUGAAAUCUUGUUUCCUGGAGGGACCACCAGUGGAGAAGUCAGUCCCCAGAAAGGGUCCGACAGUAAGGGACAAAAACUAGGGGCACGAACCGGAUCAGAUACCCGGGUAGUCCUAGCAGUAAACGAUGCUUCAUAGGUGUCAGUCACGGUCCGACCAUGAUUGUCGCAUCAGCAAGCCGUCAAGCGAGCCACCUGCGAUGUAUGACCGCUAAGGAUGAGCACGUAACAGGAUAUCCGCCGG
rnacentral:rRNA from 1 species